UACGUAGGUGGCAAGCGUUGUCCGGAUUUACUGGGCGUAAAGAGCGCGCAGGCGGCUGGUCAAGUCCGAUGUGAAAUCUCCCGGCUCAACUGGGAAACUGCAUCGGAAACUGAUCGGCUUGAAGGUGGGAGAGGGUAGUGGAAUUCCCGGUGUAGUGGUGAAAUGCGUAGAUAUGCGGAGGAACACCGAUGGCGAAGGCAAUCCCCUGGGCCUGCACUGACGCUCAUGCACGAAAGCGUGGGGAGCAAACAGG
rnacentral:rRNA from 1 species